AACACGUGAGAGCCCGCCCACGUGACCCUUUUGGCGCGCAAUUUUCUCGGGGUUCACGGGCUGGCCGAAGGUGCUUGCAGAAGAAAAGUGGGAUAAGAGCGCGAGUCACCGCCGCCCCUCCCCCCGGAUAUCUGCGCGCGAAGGGGCUCGAGUGGCGGGGAGCAGCAGCAGCCGGUGAAGCAGCGUCAUGUCCUCGCCGGCCUCCACACCGAGCCGCCGCGGCAGCAAGCGCGGGCGGAGCAGCAACCCCCCGACUCCAUGCCCUGAAGAUGCUCAGUCUCGUCCUUCACAAAAACGUUGAACAGAUGACUCCACAUCUACAGGAGAUCUACAGCCAAUGCGAACUUCUCCAGCAGUGGACAUGCAAAGCCCAAAUGCUCAAGAUGUUCUGUUUUCCAGCCCACCACAAUUUCGAGAAUCGGGGCAUUCUGCUUCAGCUGUUUGGGGGACCAAGAAAAGAUUUCAGUCAUACUGGAAGAGGCAAUUUUCGUGCUGAGAUCAACAUUCUUCUCUGUGAUGAUCCUGGCACUAGUAAAUCACAGCUGCUUCAAUAUGUCUAUAACCUGGUUCCUUAGAGGCCAGUACACAUCUGAGAAGGGCUCUAGUGCAGUUGGUCUCACUGCAUAUGUAAUGAAGGACCCAGAGACAAGGCAGCUGAUUCUGCAGAUGGGUGCUCUGGUUCUCAGUGACAAAGGCAUUUGCUGCAUUGAUGAAUUUGAUAAAAUGAAUGAAAGUACAAGAUCAGUUCUGCAUGAAGUAAUGGAACAACAGACUCUAUUGCCAGGGAAAGGUUGUUUGCUCUCAAAUACGUUUCCUUUUGACAGGCUGGAAUUAUUUGCCAGCUGAAUGCUCGCACGUCUGUCCUAGCACCUGCUAACUCUAUAGAGUCGCAGUGGAAUCCAAAGAAAACUACUAUUGAAAACAUCCAACUUCCUCAUACAUUGUUAUCCAGGUAUUACAAUUAGACUUCUAGUUCCAUGAUGCAUGCUUUGUUUUUACAAAACAACUUUCUACCUCUUCCUGUGUGUGUGUGUGUGUGCGUGCAGAAACAUGUUGAUUGGGAGUUGCAUUUGCAAUGUAGAAAGCUGAAGUUUUUUUUCUAAAUUUACUUUAAAGGUAAUGUUUUUAACUAAUACUCUAGCAAAGGACUAUAAUUGACUGACCAGUAUAUAGUGCUUGAUAUUGAAUAAUGGCAUUUGGUAGUGUCGCUAAGGUUUUGUUGUAUCCAUUGUUCUGCUUGUUUCAAGAUUUUGUGUCACUGCACAGGCACUGGGAUUUUAAAAUCUCAAGUAUUUUACAUUUAGUUCUAAAGGCAUGUAUCUACUCUGGAGCUGGAGUGUAAUUUCCAGCUCAAGUAGAUAUACCUGCUGUAGUGGUUAUCAAGCUACAGUGCUAAAGAUAGAAGUGUAGCCACAGCAGUGCAAGCAGUGGGACAGGAUAGGUGCUCCAAGCAUGAUCCCAUCUGAAAGUGCAUACUCGGGCAGCUAACCUGGGUAUGUCUAUCCAAGCUGGAAGUUACACCUCAGCUCCAGUGUAAACAUUCCGUGAGUUGCCUUUUCUUCCUGUCAGGCUGUGUUAGUAGCUGGAGUAAGUGUUUAAUGAACAAUGAUAGAGGCAUCACAUUUUAGGAAAAGUAUAAAAAUUAGUCUUUAAGCCAUUGCAUGCUUUACAAAUUAGGAAGCCAAAUAUAAUAGUAUACAAGUGUAUGGUUUGUAUUCUUAUGUCAAGUGUCACCCUGUUUUUUGUGGGCCUGAGCCUGUUGAUGAUAAAUUAAGGUUUUUAACCUCUUAAAAUAGGUACUAUAUCUCCUAUCAUGAGGCACCUAGAACUCUUUUAGGCAGUGUAGAAAAUAAGUAACUGUGGAUGAUAAGCAUCUAAUUCCAUUGAUUUAAUAAAUGUCAGGUAGUUGUCAUCUUUUGAAAUCUAACUAAAAAUAUGCCCAUCACAUUCUUCUCAGAAUACAGUUGCACCCAUGAAUUAUUCAAUACAUUAAGCAGACAAACUUCAAAUACGUGUAAAUAGAUUUCCCCCUCAAGAUCAAACUGGAAGCAUGUGUAGACGCCACCUCAUCACACAGAAUCUUGAGUAAAUGAAGUUUACGCUAUGCCUUCAAGGUCCCAGCCUUCAGAGGUUGUUAGGUGAAUGAUGGGAGAAAAUUCCAUAGUUGGAAGCCCUCUGAAAACAUCCUGCCUUCAAAUAUUCAACUCUGUAGACAGAAAGCAAAAUCACAUUUUCACUCUCUUUUUUUACCUCCUGAGAGUAUCGUGUACUCCUGAUGUAAUGAAUAAAAUGUUAGAUUUUAGAUUUCAGACAGCUUCCGCUUGGUUGAUCAAAAUCAUAAAACCAAGUAGUGUAAAUGGUGGGGAAAAGUUUAUGCACUAACUAUUGGAUCUUUAUUCCAUGCACAUUUGAUCUGAUCUUUCUAAUGUUGGACCCACAUGAUGAGGCCUGUGACAGACGUCUUGCUCACCACUUGGUUGCGCUGUACUACCAAAGUGAAGAGCAGGUGGAAGAAGAGUACAUGGACAUGGCAGUAUUGAGGGAUUACCUUGCGUAUGCUCGUAGCUAUGUUAAUCCUAGACUAAGUGAAGAAGCAAGUCAGGCCCUUAUUGAGAGAUAACUGCCACUGCCCAUAAACGUAAGGAGGAGCUAGCUCAAGCCUUGAAGAAGCUUAUCCAGUCAAAGGGUAAAACACCAGCUCUAAAAUACCAACAGCUCUUUGACGAUCUCUGUGCACAGUCUGACGCAG